rnacentral:rRNA from 1 species
GACAGAGGGUGCAAACGUUGUUCGGAAUUACUGGGCGUAAAGCGUGUGUAGGCGGCCACGCAGGUCGGAUGUGAAAGCCCAGGGCUCAACCCUGGAAGUGCAUUCGAAACCUCGUGGCUUGAGUAUCGGAGAGGUUGGUGGAAUUCUCGGUGUAGAGGUGAAAUUCGUAGAUAUCGAGAGGAACACCGGUGGCGAAGGCGGCCAACUGGACGAAUACUGACGCUGAGACACGAAAGCGUGGGGAGCAAACAGG